rnacentral:rRNA from 1 species
CCUACGGGCGGCUGCAGUGGGGAAUAUUGCACAAUGGGCGCAAGCCUGAUGCAGCCAUGCCGCGUGUGUGAAGAAGGCCUUCGGGUUGUAAAGCACUUUCAGCGGGGAGGAAGGCGUUAAGGUUAAUAACCUUGGCGAUUGACGUUACCCGCAGAAGAAGCACCGGCUAACUCCGUGCCAGCAGCCGCGGUAAUACGGAGGGUGCAAGCGUUAAUCGGAAUUACUGGGCGUAAAGCGCACGCAGGCGGUCUGUCAAGUCGGAUGUGAAAUCCCCGGGCUCAACCUGGGAACUGCACUCGAAACUGGCAGGCUAGAGUCUUGUAGAGGGGGGUAGAAUUCCAGGUGUAGCGGUGAAAUGCGUAGAGAUCUGGAGGAAUACCGGUGGCGAAGGCGGCCCCCUGGACAAAGACUGACGCCCAGGUGCGAAAGCGUGGGGAGCAAACAGGAUUAGAUACCCCUGUAGUC